rnacentral:rRNA from 1 species
GCAUGCGUGGCAUUAGCUUGUUGGCGGGGUAACGGCCCACCAAGGCGACGAUGCCUAGGGGUUCUGAGAGGAAGGUCCCCCACACUGGUACUGAGACACGGACCAGACUCCUACGGGAGGCAGCAGUGAGGAAUAUUGGUCAAUGGGCGUAAGCCUGAACCAGCCAAGUCGCGUGAGGGACGACGGCCCUACGGGUUGUAAACCUCUUUUGCCGGGGGACAAACGGCGGCACGCGUGCCGUCCUGAGGGUACCCGGAGAAAAAGCAUCGGCUAACUCCGUGCCAGCAGCCGCGGUAAUACGGAGGAUGCGAGCGUUAUCCGGAUUUAUUGGGUUUAAAGGGUGCGUAGGCGGGAUGCCAAGUCAGCGGUCAAAUACGGGGGCUCAACCUGCGUCCGCCGUUGAAACUGGCGUUCUUGAGUGGGCGAGAAGUACGCGGAAUGCGUGGUGUAGCGGUGAAAUGCAUAGAUAUCACGCAGAACCCCGAUUGCGAAGGCAGCGUACCGGCGCCCAACUGACGCUGAAGCACGAAAGCGUGGGUAUCGAACAGGAUUAGAUACCCUGGUAGUCCACGCAGUAAACGAUGAACACUAAUUGUCCGGCGGGGUUUGCCGCUGGGUGAU